GCAGAUCCAUUUCUCUGCCACCGAAUACAUUAGCAUGGGAUAAUGGAAUAGGACCCUGUCCUCCUAUUUUCAGUUGGUUUUGACACGCGAGGACCAGGGUAAUGAUUAAUAGGGAUAGUUGGGGGCAUUAAUAUUUAAUUGUCAGAGGUGAAAUUCUUGGAUUUAUGAAAGAUUAACUUCUGCGAAAGCAUCUGCCAAGGAUGUUUUCAUUAAUCAAGAACGAAAGUUAGGGGAUCGAAGACGAUCAGAUACCGUCGUAGUCUUAACCAUAAACGAUGCCGACCAGCGAUUAGGAGACGUUGAAUACAAAACACCACCAUUGGUGCGGUCGUCCUUGGCAUUUGGUCGU
rnacentral:rRNA from 1 species